UUAAACUCGUUUUCAUACCAACUCAACUUAUUAUCUAAUAUUAUUAAUAAGAAAAUUUAGCUUUAAUUUAAUUAUUACAACAUUGCAAUACAAUUUCUUCUCAAAAAGAAAAUUACAACACAAUACUCUCUCCCUAGCUCAUUUAUGCUCCCCCAAUUCAAAAUAAACAAAUAAAUAAUUAGCUUUAAUUUAAUAAUUACGACAUUACAAUACAAUUUCUUCUAAAAAGAAAAUUACAACCAAUACAGAUUUAAUUUUUAGUCAAGCAUUCAAUUUACUUUUUCAGUAUAAUCUUUACAUUUUCUGCAAUAAUAAAUUUACUUCUCAAGCACAAUUUUACUUAUCAAUGCAUAAGCUGGCAUUCAAGUUUCUUCAAGCGAUCAAAUCUUUUUCCAAUUUCACAAAAGUUGAAUGAGUAAAGAUCCUAACGAAGCACAUCCUAGCAGUUAUAUACAAAUUAUUUUUUACAAAAUAAAAAGAAGCCCUAGAAUCCAAAAAAAAAAAAAUCAAAGUUAAUUAGGUCCAUUGUGUAAUUGAUCAAUGUGAUUGUUAACAAAUCAUGAGUCCCAACAUGUACCAUAAAAAAAAAAAUGAAGCUACAUGAAUGGCUACCCGAAGGUUUGAAUUGGCCAAAGAGAAGGUGGUGGGUCUCUGCAAUUGUAAUGUGGUCCAAGAAUCAAAUUUCACAAACCCAAAAGCAGCUGCUUCCAUGCUAAAGAGAAACCCAUAUGUCUACACUCUCAAUUCACGCUUCAAGUUGUGAAAGCCAUUUUUUUAUGAUCAAGAUAAAAAGUUGCAAAGAAAACUGCAAAAUUGACAGAAAAAAAAAAUGCUGCUUCCAAAUAUUAAAGAUCUUGCAGAUCAAGCCAAGUUCCUUUUACAUGUUACAGUUCUGUUACCUUAUUUUUUUUCCACUGACCUUUUUAAUUGGACCACUUGAUGUGGAGAACCUUAAUAGUUUCACCACAAAACCAAUCACCAUGUUGGAUAUAUGUGAGUAAU
rnacentral:misc_RNA from 1 species